rnacentral:rRNA from 1 species
UACGGAGGGUGCAAGCGUUAUCCGGAUUCACUGGGUUUACAGGGUGCGUAGGCGGGUAUAUAAGUCAGUGGUGAAAGCUCCGAGCUUAACUUGGAAACUGCCAUUGAUACUGUAUAUCUUGAAUGUCGUAGAGGUUAGCGGAAUGUUGCAUGUAGCGGUGAAAUGCUUAGAUAUGUUACAGAACACCAAUUGCGAAGGCAGCUAACUAUGCGAUGAUUGACGCUGAGGCACGAAAGCGUGGGGAGCAAACAGG